GAGUUCAUUCGACUUUCCACUCUUAUCAUUACUACCAUUCGGUGCAGCCAUCGGUGCCUCCCCGUGAUCUCCAGUGCUCUUCUCCUUUUGGUCGCUAAGCUUAUUGCCAACGCCUUGAUUUCCAGGUUCAAUACUGUCACAUAUGGGAUCAUAUUGCUUAACAUGAUCACUGGCCGGAUUAGAACUGUGAGCAGCAUAAAGUUGGGGAAGCUGAUGUCCAUUGGCAAGUAGUUGAGCUAGAGAAACUGAAAGAUUGGUAAGCGUAGCGAGUUGUUCACCACUGACGAUAUUCU
rnacentral:lncRNA from 1 species